rnacentral:rRNA from 1 species
AGAGUUUGAUCCUGGCUCAGAACGAACGUUGGCGGCGUGGAUUAGGCAUGCAAGUCGAGCGGGAUCCUGUUUUUUCAAUUCUUCGGAAGAGAGGUUUCAGGUGAGAGCGGCGAACGGGUUAGUAAUAUAUGGGUAAUUUGCCUCUUUGUUCGGGAUAGCCAUCGGAAACGAUGAUUAAUACCGGAUGUGUUCGCCCCGCACCUGCGGGGCUAUAUAAAGGCGGGGAUCUUCGGACCUGUCGCAAAGAGAUAAGCCCAUAUCCUAUCAGCUAGUUGGUGGGGUAACGGCUCACCAAGGCUUACGGGUAGUUGGUCUGAGAGGAUGAUCAGCAACACUGGAACUGAGACACGGUCCAGACUCCUACGGGAGGCUGCAGUCGAGAAUCAUUGUCAAUGCGCGAAAGCGUGAACAUGCGACGCCGCGUGGAGGAAGACGGCCUUCGGGUUGUAAACUCCUGUCAGCAGGGAGGAAGGGCAGCAUCACUAAUAUUGGUGUUGCUUGACAGUACCUGCAGAGGAAGUCACGGCUAACUCUGUGCCAGCAGCCGCGGUAAUACAGAGGUGGCGAACGUUGUUCGGAUUUACUGGGCGUAAAGGGUCCGCAGGCGGAUCGGUGUGUCGGAUGUGAAAGCUCACAGCUCAACUGUGGAAUUGCAUUCGAAACUGCCGGCCUAGAGUACUGGAGGGGAGAAGGGAACACUUGGUGUAGCGGUGAAAUGCGUAGAUAUCAAGUGGAACACCGGAGGCGAAGGCGCUUCUCUGGACAGAUACUGACGCUCAUGGACGAAAGCUAGGGUAGCGAAAGGGAUUAGAUACCCCUGUAGUCCUAGCCGUAAACGGUGUGCACUAGACGUGGGUGGAUUUACCCCCAUCCGUGUCUGAGCUAACGCAUUAAGUGCACCGCCUGGGGAGUACGGUCGCAAGAUUAAAACUCAAAGGAAUUGACGGGGACCCGCACAAGCGGUGGAGCAUGUGGCUUAAUUCGAUGCAACGCGAAGAACCUUACCUGGACUUGACAUAUAGCUGCAUACGACCCGAAAGGGACGUAGCCUUCGAGGGUGCUAUACAGGUGCUGCAUGGCUGUCGUCAGCUCGUGCCGUGAGGUGUUGGGUUAAGUCCCGCAACGAGCGCAACCCCUGUGUUUAGUUGCCAGCACGUAAUGGUGGGAACUCUAAACAGACUGCUUGUGAAAACAAGAGGAAGGUGGGGAUGACGUCAAG